rnacentral:rRNA from 1 species
UGGGGGAUAUUGCACAAUGGGGGAAACCCUGAUGCAGCAAUGCCGCGUGAGGGAAGAAGGUCUUCGGAUUGUAAACCUAAGUUGUCAGGGACGAACAAAUGACGGUACCUGAAAAGAAAGCUCCGGCUAACUACGUGCCAGCAGCCGCGGUAAUACGUAGGGAGCGAGCGUUGUCCGGAUUUACUGGGUGUAAAGGGUGCGUAGGCGGGUUUGCAAGUCAGGCGUGAAAUACCGAGGCUUAACUUCGGGGCUGCGCUUGAAACUGUAGAUCUUGAGUGAAGUAGAGGUAGGCGGAAUUCCUAGUGUAGCGGUGAAAUGCGUAGAUAUUAGGAGGAACACCAGUGGCGAAGGCGGCCUACUGGGCUUUAACUGACGCUGAGGCACGAAAGCAUGGGGAGCAAACAGG